rnacentral:rRNA from 1 species
GAUGAACGCUGGCGGCGUGCUUAAUACAUGCAAGUCGAACGAAGAGCCUUUGUAGCAAUACAGAGGUUUCUUAGUGGCGAACGGGUGCGUAACGCGUUGGUGACCUGCCCCGAAGUGUGGGAUAACAGUUCGAAAGGACUGCUAAUACCGCAUGUGAUCAUCGGAUUUAGAAACCGAUGAUUAAAGCAGUAAUGCGCUUCGGGAGGGACCUGCGUCCCAUCAGCUAGUUGGUGAGGUAACGGCUCACCAAGGCUACGACGGGUAGGGGACCUGAGAGGGUGGUCCCCCACACUGGCACUGAAACACGGGCCAGACACCUACGGGUGGCAG